rnacentral:rRNA from 1 species
UAGUCCACGCCGUAAACGAUGUCUACUUGGAGGUUGUGGCCUUGAGCCGUGGCUUUCGGAGCUAACGCGUUAAGUAGAUCGCCUGGGGAGUACGGUCGCAAGAUUAAAACUCAAAUGAAUUGACGGGGGCCCGCACAAGCGGUGGAGCGUGUGGUUUAAUUCGAUGCAACGCGAAGAACCCUACCUACUCUUGACAUCCAGAGAAGCUUGAAGAGAUUCGAGUGUGCCUUCGGGAACUCUGAGACAGGUGCUGCAUGGCUGUCGUCAGCUCGUGUUGUGAAAUGUUGGGUUAAGUCCCGCAACGAGCGCAACCCUUAUCCUUGUUUGCCAGCACGUAAUGGUGGGAACUCCAGGGAGACUGCCGGUGAUAAACCGGGAGGAAGGUGGGGACGACGUCAAGUCAUCGUGGGCCCUUACGAGUAGGGGCUACACACGUGCUACAAUGGCGUAUACAGAGGGCUGUAAGCUAGCGAUAGUGAGCGAAUCCCAG